GACAGAGGUGCCGAGCGUUAGGCGGAAUCACUGGGCUUAAAGCGUGUGUAGGCGGGUCGUUAAGUGUCUUGUGAAAUCCCCCCGGCUCAACCGGGGGAAUGGCUGGGCAUACUGGCGAUCUUGAGCAGUCUAGGGGCAGAUGGAACAAGUGGUGGAGCGGUGAAAUGCGUAGAUAUCACUUGGAACGCCAACGGUGAAGACAGUCUGCUGGGGACUUGCUGACGCUGAGACACGAAAGCCAGGGGAGCGAACGGG
rnacentral:rRNA from 1 species